CUAGGUUGAAAUUCCUGUACUGCUUAUGGACAGAACUGUGGGGACGCAGAAGGAGAGCACGAGCCGGAAAUGGAAGAGCCGGUACAAGCGUAUAGCAGUCAUGCAGGCAAAACCGCAUGAAAAAUGUAAAGCGUUAUGUGGAUCGAACAUUAGUAGAGAAGCGUGUGAGCCAGCUGCCAAGAAAAGCCGCUAUUGCUUCAUAAGUACCCGUACCGUAAACCGACACAGGUGGAUGAGGAGAGAAUCCUAAGGCCGGCGGGAGAAGUGUUGUUAAGGAACUCGGCAAAAUGACUCCGUAACUUCGGGAGAAGGAGUGCCACAGAGAUGUGGCCGCAGAGAAAUGGCCCAAGCAGCUGUUUAGCAAAAACACAGGUCUAUGCAAAACCGAAAGGUGAGGUAUAUGGGCUGACGCCUGCCCGGUGCUGGAAGGUUAAGAGGAGAGGUUAGAGCAAUCGAAGCUUUGAAUUUAAGCCCCAGUAAACGGCGGCCGUAACAAUAACGGUCCUAAGGUAGCGAAAUUCCUUGUCGGGUAAGUUCCGACCCGCACGAAAGGCGUAAUGAUUUGGGCACUGUCUCAACAACACACCCGGUGAAAUUGAAAUACCAGUGAAGAUGCUGGUUACCUGCGCCAGGACGGAAAGACCCCAUGGAGCUUUACUCCAGUUUGAUACUGGGAUUCGGUACUGUCUGUACAGGAUAGGUGGGAGGCUAGGAAAUGGUGACGCCAGUUGCCAUGGAGCCAACCUUGGGAUACCACCCUUACAGUACUGGGUUUCUAACCUGCAGCCGUGACCCGGCUGGGGGACAAUGUCUGACGGGGAGUUUGACUGGGGCGGUCGCCUCCGAAAGAGUAUCGGAGGCGCUCAAAGGUUCCCUCAGAACGGUUGGAAACCGUUCGAAGAGUGCAAAGGCAGAAGGGAGCUUGACUGCGACACCGACGGGUGGAGCAGAUACGAAAGUAGGACUUAGUGAUCCGGUGGUAUAAAGUGGGAUUGCCAUCGCUCAACGGAUAAAAGCUACCCUGGGAUAACAGGCUUAUCACUCCCAAGAGUUCACAUCGACGGAGUGGUUUGGCACCUCGAUGUCGGCUCAUCGCAUCCUGGAGCUGUAGCAGGUUCCAAGGGUUGGGCUGUUCGCCCAUUAAAGCGGUACGCGAGCUGGGUUCAGUACGUCGUGAGACAGUUCGGUCCCUAUCCGGCGUGGGCGUAGGAUAUUUGAGAGGAGCUGUCCUUAGUACGAGAGGACCGGGAUGGACAAACCUCUGGUGUAUCUGUUGUUUUACCAAAGGCAUGGCAGAGUAGCCAAGUUUGGCAGGGAUAAACGCUGAAGGCAUCUAAGCGUGAAGCCCCCCUCAAGAUAAGAUAUCCCAUCUUCGGAGUAAGACCCCUUGAAGACUACAAGGUUGAUAGGCUUCAGGUGUAAGUGUGGUAACGCACUCAGCUGAGAAGUACUAAUAGGUCGAGGACUUACCAA
rnacentral:rRNA from 1 species